UACGGGGGGGGCAAGCGUUGUUCGGAAUUACUGGGCGUAAAGGGCUCGUAGGCGGCCAACUAAGUCAGACGUGAAAUCCCUCGGCUUAACCGGGGAACUGCGUCUGAUACUGGAUGGCUUGAGUGUGGGAGAGGGAUGCGGAAUUCCAGGUGUAGCGGUGAAAUGCGUAGAUAUCUGGAGGAACACCGGUGGCGAAGGCGGCAUCCUGGACCACGACUGACGCUGAGGAGCGAAAGCUAGGGGAGCAAACGGG
rnacentral:rRNA from 1 species